UCCCCUAUAUAAACCCCUCUCCGCGCCUUGCCAAACUUUCUUUCGCCUCGCCAUUCGCUCGCAUUCUUCACCUAAGCUAAGUCUUUCUCUCUCUCUCUCUCUCUCUCUCUUUUUCUUCUUCCACUUUUCCUCUCUUCUUAAGUCUUUUCUUUUUAUCUCUUUCUUCCUUCUUUCCUUGUUCUUGCGUUUUUCAUUUCCCUUGCUUUCUCUUCUUUUUCAUUGUCCUCUUUAAUUCCAAUCUCUUAGAUUUCUGUCCAAUUCUUCGUCACUGUUCUUGACUACGGCUUGAUUUGUGAUUUGUAGUUGUUCUUUCUGUUUGCCCGUUCUCUUUGUUUAUUUUCCGUUCUCUUUGAUU